AAGCAAGAAGCUCAGUUUCAUACGAUUCUUGAAAAUCAACAAACUCUCUGUCAGACACUUCUUGACAAUCAAAAAUAAUUUUUUGAAGUGCAGCAAAAAAAUCAACAGGAACAUUUUCAGGGCAUACAAUCUGACAUGCAUUCUUAUGUGGAUACCAGUUUCGAUUUAAUGAAGUCUUACAUUGAUGAACAAAAUCGAAAUAUGCAGAAUCAGUUAACUAACUGGAAAUCACAUAUGGAAUCAAUUGUAGCCUCUGUACAACAUGAUUUGCCCCUCCAACAAAUCAAGCUGAAUUUGAAAUGCCUUCAACAUCUGAACAUGCAGAAGACGUCGAAAGAUCAACAAAAGAAAAAAAAGGUAAGCAAAAAGAGACACAAUCUCCAUCACCAACGGCAGCGAAUACUUUACAGAAGACGUCGAAAGAUCAACAAAAGAAAAAAAAGGUAAGCAAAAAGAGACACAAUCUCCAUCACCAACGGCAGCGAAUACUUUAGAAGAUUAUAACAUCGACAAAUACAAAAACAUUAGAGAAUGGAUAUAAGAAAAUCCAUCAGAAUAAGAUAUUAAAUUUAACUUCGUUAACUUAAAUAUUCUAUUUCGUAUUUUACUUAUUUAAUAACAAUUUCAUUUUUUCUUAUAUAGUGCAUACUGGAAAGAUGAAAUCGGCAAUCAAUACGCAAGACAUUCGCUGAUAAAUAUAAUAAAUCAAAUUAAAGAUAUAAAUAUUGUGGUAAGUCAACUUUAGCAAUCUUAAUUAAUUUUACUUCGUUAUUAAUAUAGCUAAUUUAAAUUUUUUUUACUAGCAUAUUGAUAUAGAAUUAAAGCUGUUGCGAAGACUCAUUCAUGAUACAUCUU
rnacentral:lncRNA from 1 species